CGAAAUCGGUAGACGCUACGGACUAAAAUCCGUCGACUUUAGAAAUCGUGAGGGUUCAAGUCCCUCUAUCCCC
rnacentral:tRNA from 1 species